UACGGAGGGGGCUAGCGUUGUUCGGAAUUACUGGGCGUAAAGCGCACGUAGGCGGCUUUGUAAGUUAGAGGUGAAAGCCCGGAGCUCAACUCCGGAACUGCCUUUAAGACUGCAUCGCUAGAACGUUGGAGAGGUAAGUGGAAUUCCGAGUGUAGAGAUGAAAUUCGUAGAUAUUCGGAAGAACACCAGUGGCGAAGGCGACUUACUGGACAACUGUUGACGCUGAGGUGCGAAAGCGUGGGGAGCAAACAGG
rnacentral:rRNA from 1 species